ensembl:snoRNA
GUGGGACGGUGUGCGUGGUUGCCAUCUGCGUUAUGUGCUGUUGCCAGGCUGUGUCCUACAGCUUGUACGGCAGUGCUCACUCCACAUACCUGCAGCCAUAGAGCCACUGGAGAUCAUAGUACUGGCUCUGUGAUGUCUCUGACUCCUUACCACUGGCCAGCCUCCAUACUCUCCUACAAAC